UUGAACGCUGGCGGCAGGCCUAACACAUGCAAGUCGAACGGUAACAGGGAUCAGCUUGCUGAUUCGCUGACGAGUGGCGGACGGGUGAGUAAUGUCUGGGAAACUGCCUGAUGGAGGGGGAUAACUACUGGAAACGGUAGCUAAUACCUCAUAACGUCGCAAGACCAAAGAGGGGGACCUUCGGGCCUCUUGCCAUCGGAUGUGCCCAGAUGGGAUUAGCUAGUAGGUGGGGUAACGGCUCACCUAGGCGACGAUCCCUAGCUGGUCUGAGAGGAUGACCAGCCACACUGGAACUGAGACAGGGGCAAGACUCCUACGGGAGGCAGCAGUGGGGAAUAUUGGAAAAUGGGAGCAAGACUGAUGCAGCCAUGCCGCGUGGAUGAAGAAGGCCUUCGGGUUGUAAAGUACUUUAAGCGGGGAGGAAGGGAGGAAAGUUAAUACCUUUGCUCAGUGAAGUUACCCGCAGAAGAAGCACCGGCUAACUCCGUG
rnacentral:rRNA from 1 species